UCGUGGGGGAAGGGAGGGCUGGCUCGCGGGUGGAUCUCAGAGGAGUCGGAUGGGAUGGCCUCUCCUUCCACACACCCCGCCCCCACCUCCACCCCGGAGAAGCGUUAACCCGUCACCGCGGCGGUGGGCGGUGCGCGGGGCUUCCGGGUUCCGCGGCGCUAACCACCCCUCACGUGCACGGCCGUUCGGGCCUCUUCCCGCCUCGGCCAGCCCUGCUCCGCUCGCCUCCGUCCCGGAGGGACCCUGGGCACGGGUGGGCCGGCGUGGUCCCUUCCAGGCCCAGUUUCCGAAAGCUGUGCUCAAUGAAAUGUCCAAGAAAUAAUGUUACUUCACCACAUGAGCCUGAUAAUAUGCACUCCUAAUGCCUACAUUCUUGGGUCUAAUAUUUUUCACUGCAAGGAAGCACAAUAUGCCUUAGAAAAAUGGCUGAUUCAUGUCUGGGUCUGGGAAGAUACAGGAUCCCAGAAGGUGGCCUGUCUGCCAUCUUGACAACUGAUCGGACGGCUUGCAUUUGGAGUGUGAAGAAUCUUCAUUUCAUAAGACAGACGAGGAUAGCAGCAGGUAGAACCCACGGGAGCCCCUACUCAGGGCACCCCACCCGUACAGAGGAGUCCCAAAUUGUAAGAUGCCUCCUCCUUUUUCUUUCAAACUUAUAUUUUGAGCCAAAUCAUGCUAAACUUUGUGAAGCGACCCAAGAUGUCAUACUAUGAAAAACACGGACUAUGAUUUUUUUAAAAAAACAAUAGUAUGAUUACAAUUUUAAUCAUAUGUAAGCUUCUUUAGUGGCUUUCCAUUGCACAGAGAAUAAAAUCCAAACUCCACACCAAGGCCCGCCAGGCUUUGUGUGAUCUGCCUCCAGACUUCUUAAUCACUAGGCUCCAACCACACACGCCUCUUAACAGGGCCAGCCCUUUCCUGCCUCAGGGCCUUUGCGCUCACUGUUCUCUCAGUCUAACAGGCUCUUUUCUGGGCUCUUUCUGUGGCUCUCUACUUCAUUCUCUGACCUCAGCUUAAAGGUCACCAUCUUCUUGAUGUCUUUUCUCAAUGUGCCAUCCAUUGUACUCCUUCACUCCCGCCCCCACAUCACUUUCUUCAUAGCACUUACUAUGAUCUAUAAUUAUUUUGUUUAUUUGCAUUUUAUCUCUCUACCACUGGAGUAUAAGAUCCCUGAGAACAGGAACUUGAACUGUCUUCACGGAUAUAGCUCCAGGACCUAACACGGUGUGUGGCAUACAGUUGGUAUACAAUUAAUACUUGCUAAAACAAAAUAUGCUGAGUGAGCAAAUGCUGAAUACACUUCAAACAUGGUGUCCAGAACAUGAGAACAUUUGCACAAGUGUCAUGUCUUUCAAAUAGUUCCUUAUAAUUGAAUACACAUAGUAAAUUACUCUAAAAGAAAUACUGUUUUUAUAUGCUUUUGAUUCCAUUAACAGCUCUCUGUAGUCCUAUUUACUUCUUCUGUAAGUCAGAGAUGUUUACUGUGUUUGAAUCACUAAAGGAACUUGGACCUGCUAUGCUAUGUCAUCUAUGAAGUGGUGCUGCUUAUGCCAUAGUGUACGCGCUUCUCGCCUGACAAUGUUUUCAAGUCACUCCAUCGGCAUGUAUUGGUCAUUAUGUCAACAUUUAUUCGUGUUACCUUGUCAUUGCUGAAAAAUAUACAUUCAUGUGGCACUGUAAA